rnacentral:rRNA from 1 species
UACGUAGGGAGCGAGCGUUGUCCGGAUUUAUUGGGCGUAAAGAGCUCGUAGGCGGUUCGGUAAGUCGGGUGUGAAAACCCCAGGCUCAACCUGGGGACGCCACCCGAUACUGCUGUGACUUGAGUCUGGUAGGGGAGCACGGAAUUCCUGGUGUAGCGGUGAAAUGCGCAGAUAUCAGGAGGAACACCGGUGGCGAAGGCGGGUCUCUGGGCCGAUACUGACGCUGAGGAGCGAAAGCGUGGGGAGCGAACAGG